AUCAUGGAGAGUUUGAUCCUGGCUCAGAACGAACGCUGGCGGCGCGUCUUAAGCAUGCAAGUCGAGCGGUAAGAUUGGUGCUUGCA
rfam:Treponema bryantii strain B25 genome assembly, contig: Ga0070255_103